ensembl:lncRNA
CUCUUAUUGUUUGACACCUCUGAUCUUAUUAUGUAAUAGAAGAACUAUAAAGAUUUCCUGUCACAGAGGAAAGACAACUCUGGAGUAAGAAGGGAAUAUUUCAGACCAAGCAUAGCUUUGAGGUGGUCUUCUGAGCACACCUCACAGGAGAUACCCUAUCUCUCCUACACAUAUGACUGACCCUGCUAGAUACUAGGGGAAUUUACCCAGGCUGGUGGACCAUCUGUGACCUAGCUUUGAAUGCAGGAUGGACUGCUUCUAAUGAGGACCAGUAAAUUAUAAGUGUCAAGGCUUGAAUUCCAAGAUGACUUUAAAUUGAAAAGGUAACAUUUUAAAGAGUUGGAAGCUGGCACCCUGAGACAUUUCCUGAAAAAAAGCAUCCAGAAUGGUGAGGGGACUGAAGACCAUGGAUGAAAAGAUUAUUUGAAGAAAUUGGCGAUAUUUAUCUUGGAAUCAAGAAGAUGUAUGAGGAACAUGGAUCAAGGCCUGAUUUGUUUUUACCUACCUGGAGUCAGUGAAUAGAAGCGGAUUUUCAUGGUUAUUCAAAGAAGAGAAAAGAAACAUGGCCAAUUAAUGCAUGGUAGAAAUAAAUCUGGGGUAGGAGUCA